GAUGAAGACGGAUCAGAAUGGGGUCCUCUUGAUGAAUUCUGCCCCGGGAACUUCCUCUGCGCUUCUCCAAAGGCUGCCUGUGUGUAUGCAUAUGUCUCCGCACGGGCUGCUGGUUUGGAGUAUACUGCUUGACAGACAUCAGACAGGGCAAGGGACUCCUCAGGAGUGAGACCCUGGAUGUACUGUAGCCUUAGCAGGCCAGGGUCAUGGGUCGCCUAGAUGACAAUGCCAAGAAGCGAAUUGUAGAACUUCGGAAAGCAGGGCUGAGUUUUCGAAAAAUCAAGAAGGUCCUGGAGCUUGACAAUAUUCGUGUCACACCACAGGCUGUCUAUCUCUUCUUGAAGCGAAAGAAUGUGGAUCCCAGGCCCUUACCUGGCAGCAACCAUCCUCUUCCUCCCAGGGACCAGAACAGCCGGCAGCUGGCGCUCAGUCGGGCUGGCUGGGAGGAUGAGCAACUCUGGGACUUGUUGCAAGAGAAUGAGGUGAAGCCAAAGGAGUCCUUGGAAAGCCAGCCAGCUGGCCUCAGGGGAGAGCCUGGAGCUGGUCAGGGCUGGGACGGCAAAGAGGGCAUUAGGAUUGUCAGCGUGACAUCUCUGNNNNNNNNNNGCUGGGACGGCAAAGAGGGCAUUAGGAUUGUCAGCGUGACAUCUCUGUGUCAGGGUGGUGGAGCCCACCCCAAAGAUACUUGUUCCGAUGAAGCUCCCCAGGCACCCGCUAACAGUGAUAUUGGGAUUGGGCUGGGGGCUUCUGGUCCAGUGAGCCAGCCUGCUUCUCCAUAUCCACUGAGUCGGGGUCGGAACUCUGCCCUCCUUGUCAAGAAGAAGAUUGUGGACAGAGCCAUCUUCUUCCACAAGAAAGCCACUGUCCAGAAUGCCCAGAGGGGCACUAGCUCCUCUUCUCUCCCUCUCCUGGUAGGAGUGCAGUCUCCUGGGACCAACGCUGGCCUUCCAGACCUUAAGGACUCCAGCCCACAUGUUCAGGACAUGGGCACUCAGACCCGACUGCCUUGGGUCAGUGCCCAGGGCCUGGCUGAGAAGCUGGAUGCAAUGCAGCGGGCUGUGCAGCAGGUCCUACAGGUGCUCCAAGUGCUGACGGAUCAGCAGAGCCGGCUAGAACAGCAGCAGGAGCAGCAGCAGCGCUGGCAACAGCAGGUGUUGGGGACUCUGCAGCAGCUCAGGGGGCCUGACCAGAGUCAGGGUCCUGGGACCAGGGAAACCCAGGACUUAGGGGGCCCUGGGACUCUUGAAGGACCUAAUUUCCACCAGUUUAAGAUGGAACUUCUUUGACCCUCUGACAUAGGUGUGACAUGCCUGAAGGGGCAGGACCUUCAGCUUUGGGAAAUAAGGGGUCUGUGUCUUGGUACCAUCUCAGCUGAAGACAGCCCUCAUAAGAUGGAAAUUGUGGGCAGGAAACACUGCCCCUCUCCCUCUGACCCUUAUGUCUAUGUGCAACACACAGGCAGUAGCCCUCAUCCUUUGCCUGUGUUAGCGCCUUCUCCCGACAAGCCCUGCCCAGCUUCAGGGCCUGUGGAGGGUGCUGGAGGUGGGGUGGGGGUGGUUUAUUUACAUACAAGCCUGGGAUUUGGGAGCAGGUGACCAAGGGAGGCUUUAUGACUUUUUCCUUUCCUGGGGCUUAGACUCUGAGAGAGUAAGUUUCUUUACCUUCAUAUGCUAUUAUAGGUGAGUGAAGGGCUCAGGUGUUUCUUUAAGAUAGGGGAUGAGUCAUGGAUUUCUGGUGACUACUAAGCAUGUUCCAAGGCUUAGAGCACAGUGUGGGGCCAGGAUUAAGGACAUCGUUGGUGGUGGGGGGGAACAGUAGCUCUAUGAUACUAAGACCAGUGAGGAUCAUUGCAAGGGAAUAGAUGUUCUCAUAAUGGAGAUGCUUUUCCAUCAGGCAUUCACAGUUUUAACGUGAUAUAAAUCUACUCUACCUUGGACCAGUCUGAUGGGUAGGUAGAAUCCUCAUCCUAGACUCUUUUCUGCCUGCUUGCGGAGGUUGUCAUCUUUGGGUGGAAGAAGGGCAGACAGCUGGCUUUUAUGCACAGCAGCCUGGACAGGAAUAGGGUCCUGAAAGACUCAGGAAGUUACUUGGCUGACGUAAUGCAUUUGUUAUCAUUAUAAAAGUAGAAACAAGGAGACAAGAGAAGACAGUAUAGUCUCCCCAGGUUUCCAAGUCUAGAAACCAUAUCUAUGUCAUUAAAUAGUUAAAUGAGCACAAUCCUGUUGUUAUGUCUUCAUUUUUCUGUCUGUGUCAUAACUGUAGUAGAUCACUAAUGGGUCUGGACAAGCCCAGUCAAUGCUGGGACUCAGCCUUGUAGGAAAAUGUUAACCACUUCUCACCUAGGGGACUGACUCAUGCAAAUCAAUUUUCAAGUCAGUUGAAUUAAAUAAAGUAAGUAGUGUGGUCUAGUGAAUGGAGUGC
rnacentral:lncRNA from 1 species